CCUACGGGAGGCAGCAGUGAGGAAUAUUGGUCAAUGGGAGGAAUCCUGAACCAGCCAUGCCGCGUGCAGGACGACGGCUCUACGAGUUGUAAACUGCUUUUGUACCGGGGUAAAAUGCUCUACGAGUAGGGUUUUGAAAGUACGGUACGAAUAAGGAUCGGCUAACUCCGUGCCAGCAGCCGCGGUAAUACGGAGGAUCCGAGCGUUAUCCGGAUUCAUUGGGUUUAAAGGGUGCGUAGGUUGUUUUAUAAGUUAGCGGGGAAAUACCGAUGCUUAACAUCGGGGCUGCCGCUGAUACUGUAGGACUAGAGAUCGGAUGCAGCAGGCGGAAUGUGUAGUGUAGCGGUGAAAUGCAUAGAUAUUACACAGAACACCGAUUGCGAAGGCAGCUUGCUAGGCCGGAUCUGACACUGAUGCACGAAAGCGUGGGGAUCGAACAGGAUUAGAUACCCUAGUAGUC
rnacentral:rRNA from 1 species